GUCCAGACUCCUACGGGAGGCAGCAGUGGGGAAUAUUGCACAAUGGGGGAAACCCUGAUGCAGCGACGCCGCGUGAGCGAUGAAGUAUUUCGGUAUGUAAAGCUCUAUCAGCAGGGAAGAAAAUGACGGUACCUGACUAAGAAGCCCCGGCUAACUACGUGCCAGCAGCCGCGGUAAUACGUAGGGGGCAAGCGUUAUCCGGAUUUACUGGGUGUAAAGGGAGCGUAGACGGCAAUGCAAGCCAGAUGUGAAAGCCCGGGGCUCAACCCCGGGACUGCAUUUGGAACUGUGUAGCUGGAGUGUCGGAGAGGCAGGCGGAAUUCCUAGUGUAGCGGUGAAAUGCGUAGAUAUUAGGAGGAACACCAGUGGCGAAGGCGGCCUGCUGGACGAUGACUGACGUUGAGGCUCGAAAGCGUGGGGAGCAAACAGGAUUAGAUACCCCCGUAA
rnacentral:rRNA from 1 species